CCUGGUCGGUGAGUUUACAUGUUAGAGGGAGUGGGGUAUAGUGACACAGUAACAGAGGGAUUGAGGGCCUGCUCAGUGAGCUUACAUGCUAGAGGGAGUGGGGUAUAGUGACAGUAACAGAGGGAUUGAGGGCCUGCUCAGUGAGUUUACAUGUUAGAGGGAGUGGGGUAUAGUGACACAGUAACAGAGGGAUUGAGGGCCCUGCUCAAUGAGUUUACAUGCUAGAGGGAGUGGGGUAUAGUGACACAGUAAC